GCCGUUCAUUUACAUACAUUUUACUAAACCUAAAAAAAGCUUUCUCUUUCGGCCUCUGCUUUGGAGUCUGGAUCUUCGUCUCUCUUAAUUCGUUUUGAUUUUAGGAGAUGUAACAGCUAUUUAAUAGGAGUCGGAUCAUUCCCAAACCCUAGAAAAGGCCAAAUUACCAGCUACUUCUUUGUGUUCCUCUCUCUCAAACCUCUUUCAAUUUUUAUUAGUCUAUUUUCAAAACUCUCGAUGCAUUGAACGCCUACAGAUAUAAAAAUCUAAAGAACAGUUUUGAAGAAGUUGGCUAGAAUGGAUUUAUCGGCGACAACAAGGAUCAGAGAGGUGAUGAUUGUAAAGAAAGAGAGGCGAAGAUGGUAUGAGUAGAAAAGAGAUCUGAGAUGAUUCGGUGAUCAAUUUGAAGAAGAAGAAGCACCAGAUCGACUCUGAACAUGAGUCCAACCCUUAGCCUAAUUACGCUUUUGUAAAUCUCUCUCUCUCUCUUCUAGGUGAAGCAACGGGUUCUGGAGAGUGAACUAGACCUAUCGUAUUCACCGGGGCAGAAUAUUUUGAUGUGAGUGACGUGUUGGGAACAAAAAGCCAUCUUCUCACAACUCUCUGUUUUAUAUGUUAUACUAAAAGCAGAGCUUCUUAUGUUUUUGUGGGCGACUAUAUCUACGUAUGGUUUCCAAUUUUUCAGAAUAGGUUUAAUAUAAUAACAAAAACAAUUUGCAAGAGUUCACAGGCUCCAAUGAUAGUGACACGUUUGAAGCAAAGAACAAGAUGAAUGAGCAAGGUUAAGAUUUUCAUCCUCCAUUAACACCAUUUUGUCUCAGGCCAUCUUAAUUUACUCUCAAGCCCUUGAAAAAUUUGUUCCGCAUAUUCAACAGGUUAGUGUGGAGAGACUUUGUUCAAAAAAAAAAAAGGGUUAGUAUGGAGAGUAGUGGAAAGGGAGUCUCAAGUGAUAGUCUGCCUCUCCCGUAUGAGAGUAGUGAUGAGGUUGAUUUUUGUCAUGCUGUAGUAGAAUGCUUGGCCUUUAUUAUGAAUCUAUGCGUGGGCGCAUCGGUGUUGAUUACUUUGGUCGAUAGGUGUUUAUUAAGAUUCUUCCUGUUGGCAUCCAUAUGGGCAGGCUGGAAUCACUUUUGAAUCUUCCGUUGGCUGCAACGAAGAUGAAAGCUAGCCACAAUUUACAAUUAACAUCUGCCAAGUGCCAACGUUUAAGCCGUCAAACUCUUAUGAGUUUAAUACCAGUAGAAAACAUGACAUUGAGUUCAAGCUUACAGGUAUAGAGUAAUUCAAAAAGGUGAAAAGCAUUACGAGACUGCUUUGGAUUUUAUAUUACAGGAAAUUGUAUCUAAUGAGAAGGAAGAUAAGAGGGAUGAAUAAGUUUUCGCAGGACUUCACUUUGUAAAAUAAUCAAAGGUUUUGCAUUUAUAAUUGGUUUUGUAAUUUAAAAGAGAAUGUCUUUUAAUUAUGGAAAUGAUUUUUUUAAUUUGAAAUUGUAUUAUUCUU